AUUGAACGCUAGCGGCAGGCUUAACACAUGCAAGUCGAGCGGGGGAAGGUAGCUUGCUACCGGACCUAGCUGCGGACGGGUGAGUAAUGCUUAGGAACCUGCCUAUUAGUGGGGGACAACAUCUCGAAACGGAUGCUAAUACCGCAUAUGUCCUACGGGCGAAAGCAGGGGAACUUCUGACCUAGCGCUAAUAGAUGAGCCUAAGACGGAUUAGCUAGUUGGUGGGGUAAAGGCCUAGCAAUGCGACGAUCUGUGGCGGGUCUAAGAGACUGAUCCGGCAAACUGGGAGUGAGACACGGCCCAGACUCAUAGGGGAGGCAGCAGUGGGGAAGAUUGGACAAUGGGGGGAAGCCUGAUCCAGCCAUGACGCGUGUGUGAAGAAGGCCUUAUGGUUGUAAAGAACUUUAAGCGAGGAGGAGGCUACUCUAGUUAAUACCUAGGGAUAGUGGCCGUUACUCGCAGAAUAAGCACCGGCUAACUCUGUGCCAGCAGCCGCCGCCG
rnacentral:rRNA from 1 species